rnacentral:rRNA from 1 species
CUAGAUUCGGGAGGCAGCAGUGGGGAAUAUUGGACAAUGGGGGAAACCCUGAUCCAGCGACGCCGCGUGAGUGAAGAAGUAUUUCGGUAUGUAAAGCUCUAUCAGCAGGGAAGAAAAUGACGGUACCUGACUAAGAAGCCCCGGCUAACUACGUGCCAGCAGCCGCGGUAAUACAGCCAGC